rnacentral:rRNA from 1 species
GACGAACGCUGGCGGCGUGCUUAACACAUGCAAGUCGAACGGAAAGGCCCUGCUUUUGUGGGGUGCUCGAGUGGCGAACGGGUGAGUAACACGUGAGUAACCUGCCCUUGACUUUGGGAUAACUUCAGGAAACUGGGGCUAAUACCGGAUAGGAGCUCCUGCUGCAUGGUGGGGGUUGGAAAGUUUCGGCGGUUGGGGAUGGACUCGCGGCUUAUCAGCUUGUUGGUGGGGUAGUGGCUUACCAAGGCUUUGACGGGUAGCCGGCCUGAGAGGGUGACCGGCAACAUUGGGACUGAGAUACGGCCCAGACUCCUACGGGAGGCAGCAGUGGGGAAUAUUGCACAAUGGGCGGAAGCCUGAUGCAGCAACGCCGCGUGCGGGAUGACGGCCUUCGGGUUGUAAACCGCUUUCGACUGUGACGAAGCGUGAGUGACGGUAAUGGGUAAAGAAGCACCGGCUAACUACGUG